GUCCAUGCUCCUCCUUGCUUAGCCGCUUAUCCUUGCAGGCUGCAGUGGCAGCAAUUUUAUUUGAAUUUUUUUUUCCUUAAGUGUACUCAUAGCCGUUCCUAAAUGAACGCUUUAUUUUGUGAAGUCGAAAGAGAUGUUUUAGUAAAGCUUAACAAACUGACCAUGUUAUGGACAGUGAAACUGAUCAAGAGAAUACUGGACAUACCAGUUCAGUGAUACCUGAUGAUCAGAUGCCAUUCAUCCUGUGACAGUUCUCUCAAACCAGGUUGAUAGCAAGGUUGAUAGCCAAAUAGUCUAAGAGAACCAUGCCAGUUCAGUGAUCUCUGCUGCUGAUGCCAUUAGUCAUGUGACAGUUCUUUCAAACGUACCAAGUUGAUAGUCAAAUAGAAGAAGAGAAUACUGGCCGUGCCAGUUCAGUGAUCUCUUGCUGCAGCCAUCCAUCCUGUGACA